rnacentral:rRNA from 1 species
GAUCCUGGCUCAGGAUGAACGCUAGCUACAGGCUUAACACAUGCAAGUCGAGGGGAAACGACAUCGAAAGCUUGCUUUUGAUGGGCGUCGACCGGCGCACGGGUGAGUAACGCGUAUCCAACCUGCCCACCACUUGGGGAUAACCUUGCGAAAGUAAGACUAAUACCCAAUGAUAUCUCUAGAAGACAUCUGAAGGAGAUUAAAGAUUUAUCGGUGAUGGAUGGGGAUGCGUCUGAUUAGCUUGUUGGCGGGGUAACGGCCCACCAAGGCGACGAUCAGUAGGGGUUCUGAGAGGAAGGUCCCCCACAUUGGAACUGAGACACGGUCCAAACUCCUACGGGAGGCAGCAGUGAGGAAUAUUGGUCAAUGGGCGAGAGCCUGAACCAGCCAAGUAGCGUGCAGGACGACGGCCCUAUGGGUUGUAAACUGCUUUUAUGCGGGGAUAAAGUGGGCCACGCGUGGCCUUUUGCAGGUACCGCAUGAAUAAGGACCGGCUAAUUCCGUG